AGAGAACAACCACAUUUGCUGUGCUGGAACAAGGUAGUUGGGGUGCCAGAUGUAUGUUGAAUUUUCCAUAAUCCCUGAAACACUGCUCUACACUGUC